AUUGAACGCUGGCGGCAGGCUUAACACAUGCAAGUCGAGCGGGGUGAUGGUGCUUGCACUAUCACUUAGCGGCGGACGGGUGAGUAAUGCUUAGGAAUCUGCCUAUUAGUGGGGGACAACAUCUCGAAAGGGAUGCUAAUACCGCAUACGUCCUACGGGAGAAAGCAGGGGAUCACUUGUGACCUUGCGCUAAUAGAUGAGCCUAAGUCGGAUUAGCUAGUUGGUGGGGUAAAGGCCUACCAAGGCGACGAUCUGUAGCGGGUCUGAGAGGAUGAUCCGCCACACUGGGACUGAGACACGGCCCAGACUCCUACGGGAGGCAGCAGUGGGGAAUAUUGGACAAUGGGCGGAAGCCUGAUCCAGCCAUGCCGCGUGUGUGAAGAAGGCCUUUUGGUUGUAAAGCACUUUAAGCGAGGAGGAGGCUACUAGUAUUAAUACUACUGGAUAGUGGACGUUACUCGCAGAAUAAGCACCGGCUAACUCUGUGCCAGCCGCCGCAGUAA
rnacentral:rRNA from 1 species